CCACCAGUGCAUCUACCAAGGGAACCUGCAAUGAAAAGAAUAUAAAGUAUUAAAAUAGAAUACUCCAGGGAAAGAGGAACAGCAAGUACAAAGACCACAGAAUAGGAGUGCUUGGCUUUGAGAAACUGUGGUUGGUGUGGAGUGUUGAGGGGAGAGUAACAGUGGAAAGUGAGAUCAGAAAAGUAGUGAUGGGCCAGUUCAUCUGGGCCACAAGUGAUGGCAAGAAUUUUUGUUUUGGGACUUCCCUGGUAGUCCAGUGGCUAAAACUCCAUGCUCCCAGUGCAGGGGACCAGGUUUCCAUCCCUCGUCAGGGAACUAGAUCCCACAUGCUGCAACUAAGAGUUUGCAUACUGUAACUAAAGAUCCCACAUGCCAUAACAAAGAUCAAACAUCCUGCAUGCCACAACUGAGACCCAUCUCAGCCAAGUAUUGAAAAAAUAAUUUCUUAAGUUUGUUUAAAAAAAAAAAAAACAAGUCUGGGCUAAGAGCAAAGGUCAGGACUGGAGUUAGAAGUUUUAAACUAGGAGACCAUGAGUAGAUCAUCUGAGUGAUGGGCAUGCCAACAUUUAAAAAAGGAAACAACAAAGGAGGCUGGAAGCUGCGCCCAGUGAGGUAAGAGGUUUCAUGUGACCAUGAACCCUGGGUGGUGGUGCUGAACAUUCUCUCCCUUACCUCUUCACUCUGUUCACCGUAUACAAUAGAGGCUCCAUAGGCUUGUAUUGCCAGUUUUUUACAGUUGGGAGCUGUUUCUGGCACUAUGAUAUAAGCAGGAAUCCCUGGGAUGGAGAAACAACAUUUAGUUAGUACAAAUCAGAAUUUAGGAUAGAAACCUCUGUUCAGUUCGCUUGUAAUCAGGGGCUGGGAAAUUUAUUUCCAUGGCUAUCACCAAUCUCACUGAAAGUUAAGGAUACUUUUCUACUCCUCUGAUGAUCCUACCCAGGACUCUGAGAAGUUAAUCAAGUACCUUCUAAUCUGGCAGCAAAGGAGAGAGCCUGGCCAUGGUUUCCACUGCUGUGAGUAACAACAGCUCUGGGCUUCUCUUCUGGAUGGGCAGAAAUCAAGCCUCUGAUUGCAUUAAGGGCACCACGAAUCUGGAAAAGAGGGAUGGUGAAUUAAUCCAUUUGUUUAAAAUGUUUCUUUUCAAAAAAUCUACCAGCUUUAGAUUUUUCUCUUCCAACACUGCACACCCAGUAAAUCGUAUUGGUUUGUACCUCCUAAAUAUCUCAUGUUCAUCUUGGCCACUACCUUGGUGAGGCUUAAUUUCUCAACUGGGAGUUACUGAAUCUCAGCUGAUCCUGCCUCAAGGAUCUAAUAGUUCUGCUAGAUUAUGAAAGUUACCCUUUAAAAACAAAUGUUACCUUUUUCAUUGACUGCCUAUCUUUGUAAGAAAAGCAAAAGUACAAAUUCUUUAAAAGCUGCAGCCUUUCUAACAUAGCUAAUAUGUUACUUUCUAACAUGUCAGUGUCCUAGCCAUCUUAAGUUGCUGCUAGUUUCCUGUCAGGUUAGCUCCCACCUCUAUUUCUUGACAUGUUGAUGCCUCUACCUGUAGUUCUUUCCCUCACUCCCUGAUCUGGCUAAAAGUAUCAUCCUAUAAAACUUGGAUCAAACAUCAUCUGGUUCAACCUUCUUGCUCUCCCAGGCAAAAUUAGGUACUCCAUUGGCUUCCAUGUUCCUUGUGUGUAUCUUUAUAUCUUUUUAUUUGGACUGUGCUGCAUGGCUUGCAGGAUCUUAGUUCCUCAACCAGGUAUCCAACCUGGGCCUUUGGCAGGGAAAGCACAGAGUGCUAACCACUGGAUGGCUAGGGAAUUCUCUAUCUCUGUAAGACACUUGUCAUCAACCUACUUUUGUCUUCCCCUGAAAGUAUGAGUAUAGGGCAAGGCCUCCAGUACAUACACCUGGUGUAGUUAGUGAAAAUAUGUGCUUGAUGUGUGACAAAUGAAGAACAAACUGACAGAAGCAAAGGGCAAAAGAAAAUAGAGAAGUUUUUGUAUUGUUUAAAAGUUCUCAGUUAAUGGGUGCUGAAAAAGGUAAAUACAUGAUAUCCUAAAGCUACCACUUAACAGGUACUAAUACUUCUCAGGCACAGUCCAAAAUGUAGCUUUCAGAUUUUUACUUGAAUGAAUCUUGAAGUUCAUUCUAAUGAAUGAAGUUCAAUUAAUGGUCAGAAAAUUCUGAUAAUGAGGAAACAAAAACCUAUUUUUAUGCAAAGGAGAGACCCUGACAUAUAUUACAGAAAAAGAAAAAGGUUUUGUUAUAUGAGGGCUGAGCUAGGUUUAGACCUUUUUUAUUCAUAACAUAUAAACACAUAGCAAGUGAAUGCUUAAACUUGGCUAUAUACAGUGUGAUCACACAUGUCAUGUUGCAAAGUCAUGUUGCAAGGCGUUGGACACGACUCAACACCACAGGUGUCCAAGUUGACAACUGUGCUCUCUGUUCUAUCAUUAGAAGUUCCCCUUUUCAUCCCCAAACAUGUCCUAAUUUGGACAGUAAGCUGUAUGUGAUCACCUUAAUUGUAAGGAAUUUUGAGAUAGUGUAAAAGUGGCUCUCCGGAACACCAUGAUGCUAAGUAACCAGGACUUAAGCAAAGGAAAAUUUUGACAACCCUUUCUUUAGCUAUAAAAAGACAUUAACUCUACCUACCUCACUGGGUGGUCAGGAGGAUCAUACACAUUUAUGUGAAAGUAGUUUGAAAAGAAUGGUAUACUAUCAAAAAGGAUUAUUACCUUAAAAGAUCCAGUUUUCUGGAAGAGUUCACAUUUGAAGAAAAGAUUGCGUCCUGUUAUUUGAUUCAAAAGGGAACUUGUUAGUACUGGUGUGAGGUGGAUAAAAUCUCGAAUGUUGAUAUGAGCUUUUUCAACAUCAGCAAAGGAGAUGCAGUAUGGAUCACACAUGGUUCUGUAAGCCAAGAAUAAGAAGGGGGUCAAAGCAAGCCUAGACGAUAUGUUUAAUGAAAAGAUUUUGAAAACACAACAGACCCGUGGAAUGUAUAUCCCCAAGAGUGAACCAUAAUGUAAACUAUGGACUUUAGUGGUAAUGGUAUAUCAAUGCAGGUUCAACUGUAACAAAUACAUCACUCUGGUGGGCGAUGUCGAUAAUGAGGGAGGCUAUACAUGUGUGUGGGCAAGAGGCAUAUGGCAAAUUCUGUACCUUCUUAGCAGUUUUGCUGUGAAUCUUAAGUUCAAAAAACUAACACUCAAAACAGCAAAGAAAAUGCAUAACAUUGGAAAAUAGAUUCAGUCUGUGGUAUUAAUGUGGGAACCAUCUUCAUUACUGGGGUUCCAGAAUUUCUGCAUAAGGGAACAUCUCUUGAAGCUGAGUUUUUUGGUGUAUAAGUUUCUUCUGUUGAAGCUUUAUAGGAAAUAAAGUUGAUUCCUGGUGAUUCUGGAAGGCUUAAAGCUCAGUCCUCACCUAUACCAUCCAUCUGUUGCUACUGCCACUGGUCUCUACUUUUUCAUCAUUGUUGUGAAGCUUAAAUAAACUGGUUUCAAAAUCUG